GACGAACGCUGGCGGCGUGCUUAACACAUGCAAGUCGAACGGAAAGGCUCCAGCUUGCUGGAGUACUCGAGUGGCGAACGGGUGAGUAACACGUGGGUGAUCUGCCCUGCACUUCGGGAUAAGCCUGGGAAACUGGGUCUAAUACCGGAUAGGACCGCACUUUGGUGUGUGUGGUGGAAAGGGUUUUCUGGUGUGGGAUGAGCUCGCGGCCUAUCAGUUUGUUGGUGGGGUAAUGGCCUACCAAGACGGCGACGGGUAGCCGGCCUGAGAGGGUGGACGGUCACAUUGGGACUGAGAUACGGCCCAGACUCCUACGGGAGGCAGCGGUGGGGAAUAUUGCACAAUGGGGGAAACCCUGAUGCAGCGACGCCGCGUGGGGGAUGAAGGCCUUCGGGUUGUAAACUCCUUUCGCUAGGGACGAAGCUUUUUGUGACGGUACCUGGAGAAGAAGCACCGGCUAACUACGUG
rnacentral:rRNA from 1 species